GGGGAAUCUUGCGCAAUGGGCGAAAGCCUGACGCAGCCAUGCCGCGUGUAUGAUGAAGGUCUUAGGAUUGUAAAAUACUUUCACCGGUGAAGAUAAUGACUGUAGCCGGAGAAGAAGCCCCGGCUAACUUCGUGCCAGCAGCCGCGGUAAUACGAAGGGGGCUAGCGUUGCUCGGAAUUACUGGGCGUAAAGGGAGCGUAGGCGGACAUUUAAGUCAGAGGUGAAAUCCCGGAGCUUAACUUCGGAACUGCCUUUGAUACUGGGUGUCUUGAGUGUGAGAGAGGUAUGUGGAACUCCGAGUGUAGAGGUGAAAUUCGUAGAUAUUCGGAAGAACACCAGUGGCGAAGGCGACAUACUGGCUCAUUACUGACGCUGAGGCUCGAAAGCGUGGGGAGCAAAC
rnacentral:rRNA from 1 species